UGAGUACCAGUUUCAUAUGCAUUUACUCCAGAAUUUGCAACAACAAUCAUAAUACGUGGCCUAGAUACAUACUGCCUAACAUAUCGGAUAACGAAUCAGUACGCUAAAGUUAGUUAUUUUUUUUACAACUGUAUAUAAUCUCUCGCUAGUGAACGUAGUUGUGUGGACGAAUGUAAUUUAGACAAUAUUAAUGUAAUUAUAGGUUAGGAAGAUAAUGUAUUUAUUAAGAUUGUCACUUAUCUUAGGUCACGGUCGGCUUCGUUUUGUGAAACGCUUUUGGUGGAACUGGCUUUAGUUAAAAAAUAUCUGCGCAUACAAAUCCAACAAUAAGAAGUAGGUACUACAUAUCGCUUGCUUAGUAUUAAAGUGACCGAAUUCAAAAUCAAUCAAUCAUGAGUUAGAUACACUGUCAUCUUUAAAACAACGCCAUCUGUGACAAACUCCAAGAAACUCUUAAAAAGUUAGAGUUAUACUGCUCUUACAAUGUUUCGGUCUCUUUCACACUUAUGAAUUUGAAGACGCCAUUUUGACAUUACACUGACACAUUCAGUAAUCGUUUAACCGGCUCAAAACGAACAUCUGGUCGUUUGUCAUAAAAGUGACCUAUUAAUAUUUAGGAUUGUGUAACAGUGAAAUCGAAGACGAUUUGUUGUGAUGCAACUAAAGAGCCCGAAAAUGUUACGAAUAUUAUUCCAACUCAAAGUGCUGAUGUCCAGACGAUGAUAUGUGACGCAUCUAAAGAGCCCGAAAAUGAUACUGAUAUUGUUUCAACUCAAAGUGGUGAUGUCCAGAUGUUAUGUGAUGUUUAUAAUAAACCCGAAAAUCAACGACAUUUGAAUGCCUCUGAGUAUUUCAAACAUACUGAAGGCCGUAACAAGGCAGUUAUAGAUUAUCGUGUGUCACCUGUUAAUUCUGGAGAAAGCGACGCAGAUUUAAGUGAUGGCGAUCCUACUUUCGAAACCGUACAAAGGGCCAACAGGGUAGUCAUUUGCUAUUUCCCCGUACCCGUAGUUCAAGUUCGAGUAGUAGUUCUUCUUCAACUUCAGACUCAAGUUCAUCAUCUGAUAGCUCUAACGAAGAGACUUUGGAAGAACAGUUAAAUGCCAAUAACACAGAAAAUAGAACACCUGAGCCAACAAGAGAGUUAGACGGAGGAACAAUGGAGAAUCAAGAUAAUUUAACAGAAGACACAACUUCCGGAACACCUACAGUUUCUACUAAGCCAAAAGGUAAAAAACGCACUAGACAACCGGAAAACUGGAAGCAAACUAGAGCAAAAAAAUUGAGAAAUUGUGGUAAGUCAUAUAUUAAUAGUAAAAAUAUUAUAACUAAAGCUCGUGAACUUAAACCACCAUGUAAUGACCAGUGCAGGCUGCAAUGUUCUAGCAAGAUUGAUUCUGUUCAAAGGCAAAGUAUUUUCGACGCAUACUGGGAACUUGGAGAUAUUCAUAAUCAGCGAUCUUUCAUUUUGUCGUGUUUAUCUGAUAUCACACCCAGAUAUAAAUAUACCAAUGCAUUGACCCCACGGCAUUGUAACAAAGCUUUCCAUUUUGUUGUUGCUGGUAAUUCGAUCAGAGUUUGUAAAACCUUUUUUACUAAUACUUUGAACAUAUCCGAUCGUAUGAUUCGUACUGUUAAACAUAAGACUGAUAAACAUGGAAUUUUGAAGACGGAUUGUAGAGGAAUAACCGGUAAUCAUAAAUCAGAUGAAGUAUUAAUUUCUGACAUCAAAGAAUUUAUCAAUUCUAUUCCAAGAACUGAUUCUCAUUACACACGACAAUCAUCGACCCGUGAAUACAUAGACGGUGGAAAAACGAUAGUAGAUCUCUUUAAAGACUUUGAAGAAGUCCAAAAACAAAAAAAUAAGCCAGCAGGAAAGUAUUGCACAUUUUAUAAGGUUUUUAAUACACAAUUCAAUAUAUCAUUUUUUCGCCCAAGAAAGGAUCAAUGCGACACAUGUUUGCAAUACCAGAAUUCAUCGCCUGAACAAAAACUUAUUAUUCAAGAAAAAUAUGAUUCCCAUUUAGAAGAAAAAACCCUCAGCCGACAGGAAAAAUAUAAUGACCGACUUAAAAUUGAUGACAGUAAUAAAGUAAUUUUGUUCGACCUCCAAGCUGUUCUUCAAUCACCUAAAGGGGACACUUCAGCUUUCUAUUACAAAAGUAAGCUCAAUAGCUAUAAUUUCACUGUUGCCUCCUUAAACAAAAAAGUAGAAGGCAAAGUACAGGAAUCGUACAGUAACGUGCAUUGUUAUUUUUGGAAUGAAACUGAUGCAAAAAGAGGUGCCAAUGAAAUAGGCUCUUGUCUACUCCAUUAUUUCGAACAACUUUGUAUCGAAUCCAGGGCUACUAAUGAGGAAGGCAUCAAUCUUAUACUGUAUUCGGACAAUUGCGGAGGACAAAAUAAAAAUAAAUAUAUCGUUACACUUUAUCUUUACGCAGUUACACAUCUUAAUAUUAAUUCCAUCACACAUAAAUACUUAAUCAAAGGGCAUACGCAGAAUGAAGCCGAUAACAUACAUAGCCUUAUAGAAAAAGAGGUAAAAAAGAAUUUAAGAUCUGGACCUAUAUAUUCACCACACCAAUAUGUAUCAAUAAUUAAAAAUGCACGAAAAUCAGGAAACAAAUUUAUAGUAAAUGAGCGUACAUUUCAUGACUUUUAUGACUUGAAAAAGUUACAAGAAGCUUGGGGAUACAAUUUUAAUAAAACAAAGAAUGGAGAUAAUAUUGUAUGGAAUGACGUAAAAAUGAUUAAGGUGACAAAGAAAAACCCCUUUUCAUUUUUUAUAAAAAAAUCUUAUAAACAGGAUUUUUUGGAAGUAUGUGUAAGAAACAGGCGAACCAAAAUGUUGCCUUUAAACGAGUUAACGCUAGUCAAAGCGUACACUGGAAAACAAGAGCUAAGUGAAAAUAAAAAAAAAGAUUUACGCGAAUUAUUGUCUAAGAAUUUGAUCCCUAACUUUUAUUCUGACUUUUAUAAUUCCAUUCUUUAAUCAGUAAAGGUAAAGAUGACUCCUCCGUUUUCAUCUUAUAUUUUUAAAUAAUUUAUGUUUUGUUAACUGAUUUAUACCUAGACUGCGGACCUACUAAGAAUACCAUAACGCUGAUUAGAUUCGCUAAGAUCUCUUUUAAUUUUGCUACGAUGUUAUAAUUAUAGUUUAUAAUAGUUAUCAUAGUUUUUUACAAUACUAUAUACUACUUUGUAUAAAAAAACUAUAUUUGCUUUUUGUUAAUUUUGAAGGUAUAUGAAAAUGUAUACUAUUUUUUUUAUUAUAUUUCUCGUAAUCAUUUAAAUAAAGACUUGUAAUUUAAAAAGCGAUAGUUAGGAUAGAAGAGUGAUUUUUGUGAACUGAUGUAAACCUACUUAGAAUACCAUGAGACUGAUUGAUUUAUUGCUUAGAAGUUAAGAUCUCUUUUAAUUAUAUUAAUAAGUUCGGUAUAAAAACAUCUAACAUCUUCUAUUAAUAAGUGUUAAAAUGAAAAUAACAGUUUUUUUAUAAUUUUAGUUCCUUAAUGUUGAUCUCUUUUUUUUAAUUAAAAACCGUAACUACAAAAA